ensembl:lncRNA
CCUCCGUUUACCUUAUCCCCAGCUGGUCCCUGAGGGACCAGUUUUACAAAUAGCAACUAUGGUUUGGAGCUGAGUUUCGACACCAGCUCUGUAUCCUGUGUCAGAUUACAUCUCUAUGAAUAUUCCACCGACUGCACAGCUCUGAAGAGAAGUUUCCGCUUUCAGGCCAUUUCAACUUCAGUCGCUCCCACCCCUGACAGCGAUCUUUGAAACUGAUAGGGCCCUGAUAGAAGCCAGAAGAAAUUUUUAAAAAAUAUUAAUAAUCAUGGGCGAGGUUCCCAGUCUUUGUAAUCUUGUGGAAGAGCUCCCUGGAGGAAAGCACACUUGAACUGAACACAUGCCCACGCGAGCUCGUCCAUGGAAAAGGCUACUCGGAAAUGCAUAGAUGUUUUGCAGAGAAUUUCUAUGAUGGGGGAGAAGAGGAUAAGUCAGUCGUCUGCACUUACCACCUUUUCCCUGAGGAACUUGAAAGACCAUCUUUAAACACUCAGGUCUGUUCCCACUGCAAAAGAAGCCCCACAGCACCCAGGCAUUCAGUGGAGAAGACUAACCUCUUAGGAGCAGCGCAGCUCUGCCAUGCACCACCUCCAGCAUGUGCCAGCUCAUUGGGGUGGGGGUGAGGGGGCAGGGAAAAUUAGUAUCUGCUUCGAGCUGGUCAUUUCCUCACCUGUAAAAUGAUGAUAGUCACAGUUACUGCAAAAUAGUCACUGUCUCCACAUGGAAUAAAGGACAUCAAAUUCUUUACUGGAUUCCCUGGAACACAGUACCUCCUUGCUGAAACUUAACUAUUUCUAACUUACUUCACCCUGUAUGACAGACUCAAGGUCCAUGAGAAAAGCAAAUAUCAUAUAUUAACGCAUAUUCAUGGGAUCUAGAAAAAUGGUACAGAUGAACCUAUUCACAGGGCAGGAAUAGAGAUGCAGAUGCAGAGAAUGGACAUGCAGACAUGAGGCGAAGGGGAGGGUGGGAUGAAAUGGAAGAUUAGGAUUGACGUAUAUACACUGUCACGUGUAAAAGAGAUAGCUAGUAGGAAGCUGCUAUGUAGCACAGGGAGUUCAGUCUGGUGGUCUGUGAUGACCUAGAGGGGUGGGAUUGGGGGUGGGAGGGAAAGGUUCAAGAGGGAGGGGAUAGAUAUAUAUACACGAUUCACUUUGUUGUAUAGCAGACACUAACACAACUUUGAAAGCAAUUACAAUUAGAAAUAAUAAUUAUAAAACUUUAAAUUUUAAAAAUUAAUAACUAAUUUUUAAAUUGCUUAAAGAAACUUAACUAUUGUAGCUGCUAUGUGCUUCCUGACCACCUCGGGACCUAUAGAUGCAUCCCAGAUACCCUUCCCUUUGUAAAUCUAAAAUAAGAAUUAAGUUGUAUAUAGCAGUACAUCCAUGAAGAAGAUACUGGUGAUUAGACUGACCGUAGCCACUUGCAACAAGUAUGCUCUGAUUCCAACAGCUAAGAGGCAGCAGCCUGCAAUGAAAACAGUUAGCCCUGAUUUUUAAACAAUGCCUUUAAAAAUGUUUCCUUCUGAAAUACAUUAUAAAUGGCAUCAGGAAUUUUCCAAACUGCCAUGAUCAAAAUACACGAUCUUAAAAUCAUAAUUCUCUACAACAUACCAAAAUCGUAGUCAGCCUAAAGAUUCUCAGAAAUUUUGAAUUCUGAAUGCCUUAAAAAAAAAUUCAAUUCAAAUAAAAUCAGACUAAGUACUUUGUUAUGAAAAUACAAUCUGAGAUUCUGUAUUUGAGGAACACUCUUACAAGCAUUUAGUAAGUUAUAAUUUAAAACUUCUACUCAAGUUCAAGUUGACAGUUAGGGACUAAAUAAAUAGAAACUAAAUUGAUGAAUAGUAUCUUUCUUACAGCUGUGGGCUCCAUUUGCUACUCUAAUCUCCAGCAGGGAAUAUUAGCUCAAUAAAACAAAUAUUUUUAAUUUCUUCUAUGCAUUUCCUCAAACCAUGCCAAUGCACUUAUCUAUGGCUCACUUAUCUAUGGCUCACUUAAAAAAUUUGUUAAGUACCCCCCUUCACUUACUUAAAAGAGGAUGUUUGAUGUCCUAACAACAAUGGAGUAAUGGGCAUGAGGGCAUAUUGUUUUCAGGCGCUGAGCCCUUAAUCACUUCCAGUUCUGAUUCAUCAGAAAAAUAGUGCUCUUGAGGGAUUUUUUUUUUUGGUCACAAAAUAUUGUCUUUAAUUUUGAGAUACUUACUUCUUGCCAGAAAAUGAUACUGUAUUUUUGUCCUAAUGAUGAAGGAUGAAAGAUGGGGAGAAUUCCAUUUGGUGAUUAUUGGACCACAAAGAAGUAAACUGAUUCAGAAAACAAAUCCCCAGAAGAAAAAUAAAACAUAUAAUGUGAGGUGGGAGCAUGGAAUUCUUGGCAUCUAUUCAAUUGGGGCCAGGAUUGGUAAUUUAAUAACAUCCUUGUUUUGUUAAUAUUUGGGGGUGGGGUAAAGCUCUAGGGCUUUAGCUUUGGGCCAGAUUCCUUCUACUCCCCACCAUUACCUCAACCAGCAACAGUGUUUAAAGACAUAAAUCCCAGGGGCCUCACAAAGGAUUGUUAAAUCACAGGCUGCGGGCAGGGGUUCAAGAUGCCAUCCUUCCCACGUAAGCCAAAGCGAGGAGGGAACCCUGAUCUCCUCAGUUCAGUGGGCAAUGGGAACGCGUCCAAAGAAAGCCCACUCUGACCACUGUCCCCAGAGGCCCUGAGCAUCACACCCGAAUCAGAGCAGAUGGGUGAUCUCAUGAAGAGAAACCUGCCAAUUGCCACAAUUCUGCCAAAACAUUCUGAUUCAUGGGGUAAUUGUGCCACUUUCCUUCAGACUGAUCCUUCUAGCUUCCCCUGCUGGUUACUGGGCAGAGUUUGGAAGGGAAAAAAAAAAAAAACAGCUUCGACUUUGGAAAUCCUGGCCACACCUGUGCACUCCAAAAAAAACAUACCUGAGUGAUGCGUGUGGUAAAGGAAUUCAAGUUGGUGCUUCAGUAAAUUCUGCCUUUUCCUGGGACCUGGAGGUCAUGGAGUGUGUCAUUUUUUUUUAGCUCUGGUUCUCUUUCAAGUUUAAAUGAGGGGAUAAAAUAGCACAGGAAAAAAAUGAAAAUAAAAAACAAAAACAUUCAAAUUGAAGAGGGUGACAGGUUUAAUCCAAACUCAGUCCCAAACACAGUUCUGAGUUGUCACUUUCUUCCAUGACCUUUUAAUUCCUAGAUUUAUGUAAUGUGUAGGAAUAAAACAAAUAUAAUUAUUAAAAGUCUUACCAAUGUUAUGAUCUCCAUGAUGGUAUAAGAGAAACAUUAAACAGGUAACACAAGUGUGAUAGACAGUGCUACUAGUGAUGGUGGCAAUGGUGACUGUGAUGACGGAGGUGGAGGGGUGAUGAUGGUGGUGAUGAUGGAGGUGGAGGGGUGAUGGUGGUGGUGGUGUUGGAGGUGGAGGGGUGAUGAUGGUGAUGGUGGUGAUGGAGGUGGAGGGGUGAUGAUGGUGGUGAUGAUGGAGGUGGAGGGGUUAUGAUGGUGGUGGUGAUGGAGGUGGAGGGGUGAUGAUGGUGGUGGUGAUGGAGGUGGAGGGGUGAUGAUGGUGGUGGUGGUGAUGGAGGUGGUGGAGGGGUGAUGAUGGUGGUGGUGAUGGAGGUGGUGGAGGGGUGAUGAUGGUGGUGGUGAUGGAGGUGGUGGAGGGGUGAUG